UACGUAGGGGGCAAGCGUUGUCCGGAAUUAUUGGGCGUAAAGAGCGUGUAGGCGGUCCGGUAAGUCAGCUGUGAAAGUCAAGGGCUCAACCCUUGAAAGCCGGUUGAUACUGUCGGGCUAGAGUCCGGAAGAGGCGAGUGGAAUUCCCGGUGUAGCGGUGAAAUGCGCAGAUAUCAGGAGGAACACCGAUGGCGAAGGCAGCUCGCUGGGACGUGACUGACGCUGAGACGCGAAAGCGUGGGGAGCAAACAGG
rnacentral:rRNA from 1 species